CCCAGUCCGUGUGCAGCGGGCGGGCCUGUGUGGGCGGCAGCUCCUCGUCUGGGUCCUGGGCAGGCAGGAUGCGGAAAAGGGAGAUCCCCGCCAUGUCUGGCCCCCGCCGCACCAGGCCCCCGCAUUCUGGCGCCCAACGUGGGGCAUGAAAGAGGCAACAAGAGAAGGAGCAAUGCAGCCAAUUUGGGUGUCAGAGCGUUACGUCCGUCACCACAGUGGACCCAGAGAAGAUCCUGUGUCCCUUCACUCAAAAGGACUGAGAGCUGCCCUGAUGACAGCAAAGCGGAAGAAGAAGAAAACUGAAAGCUAAGCUACACAGGGGACUGAGGUGCCAACGUGGAGUCAUCUGAAGAAAACGACUGAAGCACAGCAGAUUGUGGAAAAGUAAGAAGUUGAAGCUACUUCUUCAAUCAUGUUUCUGGCCAUGCACAGCCAAGUCUGAGGACUCUUGAGUAAAUCAGCAAAAGAAACUUUCAUUUAGUAGGAAAAUGUUACUGUAGUUUGAUUUCUUUGUUGUUGUGUUGCAUUGGCAUUGUUUUAUUAAUAGCCAUGUCUGGAUUUUGCAUUGGCAUUGCUUUGUUAAUGUUUUAAUAGUCAGAAAUUUGUUCUUGAUGUUUAAAUUUUACUUCCAUUAUUAGUAGCUUAAAUUUAAAAGAAAGGGUGAGAUGUAGGAAGCAGUUAUAGGGUUAAGCCUCGGACUGACCUGUGGCAGGAUCACAAACAAGUUCAUUUGGAGGGCAGACCCCUCCCAGCAUAAUUAAGCCUGAUCCUGUGACUGAUCCCUAGAUCUUUCCUGGGUAGCUAGUGGGCUGUGGGAGGUGCAGCAAGUGCUGCCAAAACAACUGAAACUUACAACAACA